rnacentral:misc_RNA from 1 species
GAAUUGCGAUAAGUAAUGUGAAUUGCAGAAUUCAGUGAAUCAUCGAAUCUUUGAACGCACAUUGCGCCCCCUGGUAUUCCGGGGGGCAUGCCUGUUCGAGCGUCAUUUCACCACUCAAGCCUCGCUUGGUAUUGGGCGACGCGGUCCGCCGCGCGCCUCAAAUCGACCGGCUGGGUCUUUCGUCCCCUCAGCGUUGUGGAAACUAUUCGCUAAAGGGUGCCGCGGGAGGCCACGCCGUAAAACAACCCCAUUUCUAAGGUUGACCUCGGAUCAGGUAGGGAUACCCGCUGAACUUAAGC